CGUAUUUUGAAUUCUUUCUCUAGAGAGAGAGACAGAUAGAUAGAUAGAAAGUAAUAACGUGUGAAUGAGAAUAAUGACGAAGGGUUAAAAAACGUAAAAAUAAUUGAAAAUGAAACAAAAUUGAAGUCAAAACAUUAAAAAUUAUUGGAAGUGGGUAGAAAUAAACACUACGUAGUGUAGUAGUACUACGCUAGGGUAUCUGUAGAAAGUUGAAUGUGAUUUCGGAAUAUAAUUAGGAAAAAUUCGGAUCUUGGGAAUUUUCCGAAAGUCCUCUCCCCACCUCAAGAUUUUCCCCACAAAUUA